CUGUUGGCUUGCGUGCGGCCGCGAUGUUCUCUCUCGCAGAGAGCACGCGGUCGCUGCGUCAUGUCCGGCGCGGUCGGCGUGCACUUCUCCCCUAGUAGGACGUCGCGACCCGUUGGGUGUCGUCCGACGGCCCGCGAGGUAGCCUGGUUCGCCGUGCGUUAAUAGCGUGUGCGCGUACCAGACCCGCGGUGCCUGGCUCGACUGCCCGGCGGUAGAGAUCUAAUCGAUACGGUAUGGGGUCGCACGCUUAGCUGCGAUGCGUUUUGGCCCGCCGACAGAUCGACCUCGCUUGGCGUACGGGACCUAGUGCCGUUGUCGAGCGCUUGGCCGGUCGCAUUCGGCGGUGUCCUCGAACGGGCCCUGCUUUAAAACAUACCAGUCGGCGACGCUACUGCUUUGGGUACUUUCAGGACCCGUCUUGAAACACGGACCAAGGAGUCUAACAUGUGCGCGAGUCAUUGGGACUUGAAACAAAGCCUAAAGGCGCAAUGAAAGUGAAGGUCCGCUUUAUGCGCGACCGAGGGAGGAUGGCUCCCGCCACGACGCGGAGCCCGCACUCCCGGGGCGUCUCGUGCUCAUCGCGAGCUGAGGCGCACCCAGAGCGUACACGUUGGGACCCGAAAGAUGGUGAACUAUGCCUGGUCAGGACGAAGUCAGGGGAAACCCUGAUGGAGGUCCGUAGCGAUUCUGACGUGCAA
rnacentral:rRNA from 1 species